rnacentral:tRNA from 4 species
UGGGGAAUCGUCUAAUGGUAGGACAGCGGACUCUGACUCCGCCAGUCUAGGUUCGAAUCCUAGUUCCCCAGCCA